UGUUACAGUGAACAUCAAAGUGUAAAAAAAAAAACUAGUGUGAUAUUUAAGAGUGAAUUCUGUUUGUGCAUUUAUAUAUAUAGAAUGAGUCAUACGUUAUGGAAAAGUGUAAAAAGUCAAAGCAGAAGCAGCAUUGUUACCAGUAUGGCAGAAAAUCCAACAUAGCAGUUGCAUAGGAUCAAAAAUGGGCACUGAAAUUGAAACAAAGAAACCCCACACAGUUGAGGAAAAGAAAGCGUGUCGACGUCAUCCAUCAGUCAAGAGUUAUGGGGAAUUUCGCAAUGCGAAAACCAGUUGGCGACACAGAGUCUCUCGAUAUGGCUAGAAAGUACAUACAAACAUAACUCGUUCCUAGGCAGGCUGAGGCAAAUCCCGGAUGUUGAGGCAGCUGUCCAAAACUCUUGUAGCUAGUUCGAGGUGACUGCGGAUUUGUUAAAUUAUGGAUUAGGAAUCCAGUUGGGCGUUGAAAGUUGAUACGCGUGAUCGAUCCAAGAAUUAAGCGCAAACGCCCACGCAAUGGCAAUGGCAAUCGCAAAUGCCAUCGGUCUUUGAAAUGAUGGCUGAUGGCAAUUCAGCACAUUUCAGUCAAGUCCAAUUUGCCGCGUGUGGUUCUAGUUUGCCAGCGAUGAUGGUAUUGUUAAUAUUAUCGUUGUCAUGGGCGGCGUGCAGGUUACAUCAUUUCUGACGGAUUGAUUGUAGGAACACUGGUGUAUCGACUUCUCUGCUCCACUAAGAGUCUCUCACGUGUGGUCUUCAGUUGCGAUAACAAACCGAAAAAUCCGUGUACCAAACAGACUUAUAUACAUAUUCUCUGUUUUCACAUCAAUCGGUUGAGUUUGCCCAGCGUUGAAACUGUCCUUUUAUCUACCAUCAAUUUAUCUGGAGUAAAAACUGAACGAUUCUAUGUUGAGACUUAUACGGUAGAUGGUUAUAUUUAUAUAUAAAUAUCUAAAAAUGCAUUGACUUUUUAUUUUAUUCUUUGUUAUAUACACAACUUUAUAUACCAAUACCAACAACACUUUGUCAUCUUGUGUUCUUAAUUAGCAAAAGUUGCUAAAACAUUUUUUCCCCGACUUAAGAAUUUAAGAAUUACACAAAUUGUAAAUUUUACUUGUCGAUACUGAAAAAAAAGGAAAUGGAAAAGCAAAAAGAGAAAAGAAAACAGAAAAAGAUUACAAAAAGCUGACCAUAGAAAAGAAACCAGAAAAAAAAUACUAAAAGAAAAUAUAUUCCAAAAAUAAAUCUCGAAACAUUUU